rnacentral:rRNA from 1 species
GAUGAACGCUGGCGGCGUGCCUAAUACAUGCAAGUCGGGCGAACAGACGAGGAGCUUGCUCCUCUGACGUUAGCGGCGGACGGGUGAGUAACACGUGGAUAACCUACCUAUAAGACUGGGAUAACUUCGGGAAACCGGUGCUAAUACCGGAUAAUAUAUUGAACCGCAUGGUUCAAUAGUGAAAGACGGUUUUGCUGUCACUUAUAGAUGGAUCCGCGCCGCAUUAGCUAGUUGGUAAGGUAACGGCUUACCAAGGCAACGAUGCGUAGCCGACCUGAGAGGGUGAUCGGCCACACUGGAACUGAGACACGGUCCAGACUCCUACGGGAGGCAGCAGUAGGGAAUCUUCCGCAAUGGGCGAAAGCUUGACGGAGCAACGCCGCGUGAGUGAUGAAGGUCUUCGGAUCGUAAAACUCUGUUAUUAGGGAAGAACAAAUGUGUAAGUAACUAUGCACGUCUUGACGGUACCUAAUCAGAAAGCCACGGCUAACUACGUG